rnacentral:RNase_P_RNA from 1 species
CCAGUCAAGGUGACUUGAAGGAAAGUGCAACAGAGAUAUACCGCCUGAGGAAACUUAGGUAAGGGUGGAAAGGUGAGGUAAGAGCUUACCAGCGUGAUGGCGACUUCACGGCUAUGUAAACCCCACUUGGAGCAAGACCGAAUAGAGAGGCAUUUAGGGGCUGCCCGUCCCGCCUCCGGGUGCGUCGCUUGAGCUUAUUGGCAACAAUAAGC